rnacentral:rRNA from 1 species
GACGUAGGGCGCGAGCGUUGUCCGGAAUUAUUGGGCGUAAAGAGCUCGUAGGCGGUUUGUCGCGUCUGCUGUGAAAACUCGGGGCUUAACUCCGGGCCUGCAGUGGGUACGGGCAGACUAGAGUGUGGUAGGGGAGACUGGAAUUCCUGGUGUAGCGGUGAAAUGCGCAGAUAUCAGGAGGAACACCGGUGGCGAAGGCGGGUCUCUGGGCCAUAACUGACGCUGAGGCACGAAAGCGUGGGGAGCAAACAGG